GUUAUGUUCCCUAAUCGUUUUCACCUGUGUUAAUUGUAUAAAGCUGCCCUGUUCGUUUCUGUCCGCUGUCAGGUCUUUAAAGUUAUGUUCCGUGUUCACCAGUGUCUACGUCUCGGAUGUCUCCCCUGUCCUGUGAUUCACCAAUUAAACCCCUGUUCCGUGAUGUCAGGUGAAAGCGUCCUCCAUUCCUCGUCACUCCUCGUCACUCUUCGUCCUCCUCUCCGUUCACCCGCCGCGUCAUGCCCGCAUGGACGUGACAUGCUGCAGUGUUUACAUUUACAUUUACAGCAUUUAUCAGACGCCCUUAUCCAGAGCGACUUACAAUCAGCAGUUACAGGGACAGUCUCCCUGGAGCAACUUAGGGUUAAGUGUCUUGCUCAGGGACACAAUGGUAGUAAGUGGGAUUCGAACCCGGGUCUUCUGGUUCAUAGGCGAGUGUGUUACCCGCUAGGCUACUACCACCCUGUUUCACAAUGACAAUCACUUUCACUUCACUUGCUUUAUUUUACAGUGCCCUUGGGCAUCUUGAAUAAUAAUGAUCAUAAUAAAAUAAUUUUAAAAAAUAUAUCAGAUCAUUGGAUCUCAUAAUUUAGUUCGGAAUGUGUCUGCGUGGUGCUCAUGACUCGCUAUUGAAUAUCCAGUGUUGGUUGUUGCCGAAUGACGUCACCCCCCGUGUGACGUCACGCAGCGCGGCGUCAGGAUCGUCGGGCCGCUCGUCGUGCGGGCGGCCGCGGGGCGGCGCAGUUUGCCCGGCCCGGUGGGAGGUUCCGGCGGCUCCGCUCUCCCGCUCCCACCGUCGCUGCCGUCGCUGCGGACAGUCGCGCUGCGCCGGGGUCGGGAGCAGGUCGGGGCUUUUAUCGCGGACGCGCCGCUCCUUCGUUCCCGCUGCUCGGCUGCGGGACGGACGCCGCCCGGCACCGGUGGAGGGAGCGCGGCGGGGACAAGAUCUGACUGUGGUCGCUGUGGAGGAGACUGGUGUGGAGCCCCCCGGAUCUCUGCUCCUCACCCCCCUCCACCACACCUGGGCCUGA
rnacentral:lncRNA from 1 species